rnacentral:rRNA from 1 species
UACGAAGGGUGCAAACGUUGCUCGGAAUUAUUGGGCGUAAAGCGCGCGCAGGCGGUCCUUUAAGUCUGAUGUGAAAGCCCACGGCUCAACCGUGGAGGGUCAUUGGAAACUGGAGGACUUGAGUACAGAAGAGGAAAGCGGAAUUCCACGUGUAGCGGUGAAAUGCGUAGAGAUGUGGAGGAACACCAGUGGCGAAGGCGGCUUUCUGGUCUGUAACUGACGCUGAGGCGCGAAAGCGUGGGGAGCAAACAGG